UACAGAGGUCUCGAGCGUUAGGCGGAAUCACUGGGCUUAAAGCGUGUGUAGGCGGAUCGGUAAGUACCUUGUGAAAUCCCACAGCUUAACUGUGGAACUGCUUGGUAUACUGCCAGUCUUGAGCCAGCUAGGGGCGACCGGAACAGACGGUGGAGCGGUGAAAUGCGUAGAUAUCGUCUGGAACGCCAAUGGUGAAAACAGGUCGCUGGGGCUGUGCUGACGCUGAGACACGAAGGCCAGGGGAGCAAACGGG
rnacentral:rRNA from 1 species